rnacentral:rRNA from 1 species
AGCGAACGUUAGCGGCGCGCCUAACACAUGCAAGUCGCACGAGAAACGGAGCAAUCCGCGGUACAGUGGCGCACGGGUGAGUAACACGUGGAUGACCUUCCCUGGAGUGGUGGAUAACCUGCCGAAAGGGCGGGCUAAUACAGCAUGGGACCACGACGCUUUGGCGAUGUGGUGAAAGCGGGCCUCUAUAUAUAAGCUCGCGCUCCGGGACGGGUCCGCGUCCCAUCAGCUAGUUGGUGAGGUAACGGCUCACCAAGGCAACGACGGGUAGCUGGUCUGAGAGGAUGGCCAGCCACACUGGAACUGAGACACGGUCCAGACUCCUACGGGAGGCAGCAGUGGGGAAUCUUGCGCAAUGGGCGAAAGCCUGACGCAGCGACGCCGCGUGGGCG